CACACCCUCCGCUCCCCCUUUCUUUGCCGAAGGGAGGAGCGGGUCCUGAGCGGGAAGAGCCCCUAGCCGGGUUCACCCCUCUAAAGUGGAAUGACAGCGGUCCGCCUGCCCGUGAAAGACGUAGUAAGAUCUCAUCAGAAUCGUCCGCGAAGGGGAAGGAAGAGGCUUGCCUACAAAACUCAUCACAUCUGAAG
rnacentral:misc_RNA from 1 species